UCGAUAACUGUUAACAGUGCUAUCCAUACAAUAUAACAGGACGGCAUAAGCCUAAUUAAUUUCUUUGGAUUGCCGCAUUGAUGUUGCCUCGAAAGAGACGCAAUGUGAUUGUCGAACACUUCCACUUAACACUAAGAGCUCGUCCUGCAGGCUUUGCAUGUUAACAUUGACAACAAAACUAUUUUGGUGAAGAGCAAUCAAACAUCAGGCAAAUGAUGGGAAUGGCGACGGCCAUUGCCAAAUAUCCGCCGCUCAAACAUCAAUGAAAUUCCAAUAGGGCAAUCGUUAUUUGAUGGCAAAACCAACCGUUACAAUUCAUCAAACAACAAAUGGAUAUUACUUCAUCGAAAACAAUAUUAAAUACUUGAACGUAAAACAUGGACGUACCACAAUGGCCGGCAGCGUCAGGCACAGGAUCAGGCCCAGACAUUGACACUGACGCAGACACUGGCACAGAGGCAGUGGCAGGCCCAUGCCCAUGGCCAUGCCCGUUGCCCGGCGUUGAAACGACCUCAAAGUGUGUCCACAUGGAAGCGACUGACUGCUGCGAGCCUGAAACAAAAUUACCAGUUGCCAGUUGCCAGUUGCUGGACAUUGGUUGUUGGAUGUUGGAUAUGGAUGUCGUUUGGUCUGACUGGCGGCGUUCCAUGUUUUCGGCGACUAAACAACUGGCGCGCAAAUCAACAAAAACCGAUUUUCAGAAACAGGAAGCCAGCAGCAGCUACAUUGCCGUUGACAGACAUGCAGCCCAACGCCCUUUUGAGGCAGCCCCCACUGUCCCCACACCCCCUAGCUCGUUCCCUAAAUGUGCCCGCAUAUUGACUUUGUGCGAGGGGCACAAACGAUUUCGGAUUUAAGAAAUAAAAGUUUUGUGCCUCAGCGAGCAAAUCUGCAGCCACAAUGGCAAACAGCUAACCAGACUACACACACACACACACACACACACACACUCACACGCACACCAAAAACAACAACAACAACAAUGGGCUAGAGCAAACAAAAGACGCGUCUGUGGUUGGCCCCGCCUGGGUGGAUGUGGCCAACUGGGGAUGCGGCUGUCGAACGGCAAAAUGUCGGCGGUUACUACUUUGACUUGUUUACCCCGCCUGAAUCAGAAUCAGAAACUGAACAGAACUGCUGCUGGGCACAGAAUUGGUAACGGCCACGGGUCUGGGACUGGGUCAGAAGCAGGGCUCAUUGGUUUCGGGCAUCGUCUGUAAAUAGACUCCACUCCACUCGAUUUGCGAUAUACAAGCAAGAAGCGCCAUGACGAACGACAAGUGCAAUCGCUUGACACUGUUGGCGACAAGCUGCUUCCGGUUUCCGGGUGUGAAAACUAUGAAUGCAAAAGUCAAACCAGAACAUUUUUCAAAUUCUACACACGUUUAAUAAAUUCUAUAGUUGAUGAA